GACGGAGGAUGCAAGCGUUAUCCGGAAUGAUUGGGCGUAAAGCGUCCGCAGGUGGCCGUUCAAGUCUGCUGUCAAAGACCGGGGCUUAACUUCGGAAAGGCAGUGGAAACUGAACAGCUAGAGUAUGGUAGGGGCAGAGGGAAUUCCUGGUGUAGCGGUGAAAUGCGUAGAGAUCAGGAGGAACACCAAUUGCGAAGGCAGCUCGCUGGGACGUUACUGACGCUGAGACGCGAAAGCGUGGGGAGCAAACAGG
rnacentral:rRNA from 1 species